UACGUAGGGUGCGAGCGUUAAUCGGAAUUACUGGGCGUAAAGCGUGCGCAGGCGGUUCUCCAAGUCCGUUGUGAAAGCCCCGGGCUCAACCUGGGAAUGGCAGUGGAUACUGGCAAGCUAGAGUGCGGUAGAGGGGUGUGGAAUUCCCGGUGUAGCGGUGAAAUGCGUAGAGAUCGGGAGGAACACCAGUGGCGAAGGCGGCACCCUGGACCAGCACUGACACUGAGGCACGAAAGCGUGGGGAGCAAACAGG
rnacentral:rRNA from 1 species